UGUUUUCUCUUCAGAUCACGUAAAUCUUUAGCCUUUUACUAAAGAUUUCUGUGGAGAGGAACAAUUUA
rfam:Egretta garzetta contig11324, whole genome shotgun sequence.